rnacentral:lncRNA from 1 species
GUGAGUUUGUCAUCAUUUUUAUCUAGACAUAGGAUAGGUUGUGUGAAAAUAUUACUGAUGUUUAACGUUAAAAAUGGACCAAAAGAUUAAUGCUAAACAACAUUUGACAUGUUUGAACGAACAUAAAUAGAUUAUUUACUAGGUUUUUUAGCUUUUCGGCGUGAUUUUACCAGCCCCCAACCACGUUUUGUGGGAGCAUAAUGAACGCUAAGUACUUGGUGUUAUUUGGACAUAAAUUAUGAACUUUGUCAAAAGAAACCACAUUUGUUCCGGACCUGGAAUGCCUUCCGGACCUGGGAUCCUGCCUUCUGAUGGAGAUAAUCAAAGGACAAUGACUCAAAACACCCCUCCAGGCUGUGUAAGGACUAUUUGACCAAGGAGAUUGGUGGAGUGCUGCAUCAGAUGACUUGGCCUCCACAAUCACCAGACCUCAACCCAAUUGAGAUGGUUUGGGAUGUGUUGGACCACAGAGUGAAGGACAAGAAGCCAACACGUGCUCAGCACAUGUGGGAACUCAUUCCUCAUUAAGCUAGUUGAGAGAAUGCCAAGAGUGUGCAAAGCUGUC